AUUUAACGCUGGCGGCAGGCCUCACACAUGCAAGUCGAGCGGAGCGGCGGACGGGUGAGUAAUGCCUAGGAAUCUGCCUGGUAGUGGGGGAUAACGUCCGGAAAAGGGCGCUAAUACCGCAUACUAUCAAAUGAGCCUAGGUCGGAUUAGCUACUUGGUGGGGUAAAGGGCUACCAAGGCGACGAUCCGUCACUGGUCUGAGAGGAUGAUCAGUCACUCUGGAACUGAGACACGGUCCAGACGCCGACGGUAGUCAGGAGUGGGGAAGAGUGGACAAUGGGCGAAAGCCUGAGCCAGCCAUGCCGCGUGUGUGAAGAGGGUAUGCGGAUUGUAAAGCACUUUAAGUUGGGAGGCGUUACCAACAGAAUAAGCACCGGCUAACUUCGUGCCAGCAGCCGCGGUAAUUC
rnacentral:rRNA from 1 species